rnacentral:tRNA from 5 species
GGAGAGGUGCCCGAGUGGUUUAAGGGACUCGUCUACUAAACGAGCGUACGUGAAAGCGUACCAUGGGUUCGAAUCCCAUCCUCUCUGCCA